rnacentral:rRNA from 1 species
UACGUAGGGUGCAAGCGUUGUCCGGAAUUAUUGGGCGUAAAGAGCUCGUAGGCGGUCUGUCGCGUCUGCUGUGAAAACUCAGGGCUUAACCCUGAGCUUGCAGUGGGUACGGGCAGACUAGAGUGCGGUAGGGGAGACUGGAAUUCCUGGUGUAGCGGUGAAAUGCGCAGAUAUCAGGAGGAACACCGGUGGCGAAGGCGGGUCUCUGGGCCGUAACUGACGCUGGAGGAGCGAAAGCAUCGGGGAGC